rnacentral:rRNA from 1 species
UACGAAGGGGGCUAGCGUUGUUCGGAAUUACUGGGCGUAAAGGGCGCGUAGGCGGUGUGUCAAGUCAGGCGUGAAAGCCCCGGGCUCAACCUGGGAACAGCGCUUGAGACUGGCACGCUCGAGUUCGGGAGAGGAUGGUGGAAUUCCUGGUGUAGCGGUGAAAUGCGUAGAUAUCAGGAGGAACACCGGUGGCGAAGGCGGCUAUCUGGACAGAGUCUGACGCUGAGGCGCGAAAGCUAGGGGAGCAAACAGG